rnacentral:lncRNA from 1 species
AAUUUAUUUAAGAAUGAGGAAGUUUCAGAAAAUUAUAUAUAGCUAAUAGUAAAUUAAAAUUUUUGUUUCAUAAGACUGUUUAUAUAGAAGUUUGUUGAUGGUAUCUGAGUUUCAUAAUUGUGAGUAGAAUUAUAAGAAGUUUAGGUGAUACCUGUAAUUAUGAUGAAAGUUACUCGCCCAUAAUUAGAAAAUAUGAUUUAGAAAAGUGAAAGGAUCAUCAUUUACCUUUCGAACUCGAUAAAAAAUCCACGUUCUCCUCAUUUCCUAUACCAAUUACAAUUUAUAAUGCUACUCUACACGCCAUCUAUUCAUAAUGAAAAGAAUUACCAAUCACUCAAUCGUAUGGCUCGAUAAAGAAGAAAAUGAUUAUGUCGAUGAAAAAUCCUGAUGAUAAGUCUGAUAAAUUGAUAAUUUUAUCAUAUAAUAUGCACUUAAUUUAUCUGAAAUAGAAUGAAAUUUUUUCUUUCGUUCUUUCUUAAGUCAGAAAUUUUUUUCACUUAAUAUACGCUUGUAAUGUAGCGUCAUAAACUUGAAGAAAGUACAUCACGAUUUCUCGAUAUAUCUAAAACCGAAACAAUAGAAUCCCUCUCGAAUUAAUAGCGUGUCGAGAGACUAGAGUAGAAAGCGCGCAUGGAAUUAAUUUCUGUCUCGCCGCAGUUUAGUCGCUGCCUGGUUCAUAUAGCACACGAUUCGAUGAGAGCACGCGCAAAAGCUCCCUAAGAUCGAGGACUACUUCUUGCUCGAGCGUUCCACGCUCCAAUUAACGUCGCUUCCGUGCUUUCCGCAACAUGUUCACCUCAGCAUCUCUUCGCUUGACAAAUUCUCUAUAAUCUAAAUAAGAAAAAAAUUUUUCUUCUUCUAAUUGAAUUCAGGAGAAAAAUUACGACACACCUUAAGCGAGCUGGAGAUCGGCCAAAGGGGUUAAUUUAUCUCGCAGCCACCUCCCUCGCAUGGGGCGCCGCAGAUUGGAAACACGUGGUGCACCAGCACUUCCCUUCGAUGCUGCGACCACGUUGGAGAACGGCUACCGUCACACCUGGACGAGAGAACAGAUGCGGUUUUACUUCCGCGAUUCGGCACCGAAUGUCGCGUGGCUUCGACGAGACUGAAUCGUUUCGCGACUCGUUUCUACCUCUAUAUGUAGAAACCUCCUCCUCUGCCAGACACCGAGUCUCCCGUUACUUACUGCCAAAUCGAUCUGCCGACACAGUUUCCCAUCCUUUUCGAUCGUGAGGACGAUACUCUUGGAAACGCUUCUUUUUUCUUUUCUUUUUUUCUUUUUUUUGAAAUUAAUUUACAAUAAUUAAAAAAUUUUUCCUAAAUUAUUUUUAUAAUUACGAAAUAAGACAGUAUAUUUAUCGAGAAUUGUAUCAAACAUGAUUUUGAUUGAGAAAUUAUUUUUAUCAUUUUUUUCGAAACGUGAAGCGGGAUUAGUUUAUUUAGGUCGGAUCGGUUGUUAUUGAGACGUUCGAUUGAUUAUAUGAAAUUCCACGCAACGUGUGAAAAGUAUUUGUCGGGAAACAUAAUAAUAUUUUUCUCUCGUUAAAAUUGCGUUCUCCGUAAAAACAUAAUUUUUCUGCGAAUACAAUAACACAUGGAGAUAAGAAAGUUUCUUUAUCUCGAGAAAAAAAAAGGAAAAUUUUCCGUCUUGAAUUAAUAAAAAACAAAGAGGAUAUAAUGAUUCAUAUGCGAGUAAAAAAUUUAUUUCUCGAUUUCAAUUCCCCUUGAUCCGAAUAUAUUCAUUUAUCCGUUCAAAGGAUAUUCUUGUGGAAUCUCUACGAUAUAUCUUUUUUAGAAAACGUUGCAAAAUUACGGAAAUACGGGGAUUUCGAUUCGGUGAUCGUAAAUCUAUGGUGGGAACAGUCAGAAUUGGAAACUUCACGGUGACAGGGAUCGGUAAAAGCGCAAGUUUUAUUGCGGAAUACUUUCAAAGAGAAUGGAUUGUUAUGUCACGUAGUAGUACGUGAACGAGCCUCGUCUUUUACGAGGUAAAAAAACCAUGGCAAUAGUUCAAAGAUCCUUAACGUCGGUUUAUUAAAAAGCUGAUCUUUUUCUAAACACGUAGAGAGCUUAUAUACGAGAGAGCCUCCGUUAUUAUACAGCUCGACGAGUCUUUCUUAUCCUCCUUUUUUUUUUUUUUUUUUUUUCUUU